GAUCACGACUGUCAGUCGCCAUCGCCAGUUGGCCUCGAGCGGUUGAGCCGUAAAGAGGAGGACAUCUUGCACUUUGUCUCGCUCAUUGUUUUUCAAGCGACCAUUUUUUUUUUUUUUAUCACCUUUUAUGUACAAUCAGCAUUGCCAAGGUGCAUAAGACUGAUGAUAAUGGUUUAUCAACUUUUAGUGGUUAAAUAUUUACCAGGUUAAUUGGAUUAGCUUAUUGUCCAAGGGUAUACCCAAUGAUUACAAUAUCUACGGUUGAAUCUCCCACUGGGAAAGGGACUCAGGUAUACAUCAACAUGUGGCUAUGUGGUAAUUCAAUGAGGUUAGCAGGUGUGUAAAAAUAGUGAUGCGGUGGGAAAUCUAUGCUGGACGUAAAGGGGUAUCGGUGCACCUCAGUUUGAGGGAAAAGUGAAAAUGAGAAACCGGGGGAAACCGUGUGCGGUAAAUAGUAUAUUUUGAGAAAGUCGGGGUCUGCACCUGAAGGGACAGCUUUCAAUUCGAUAAGUUUCCCCUCUGUGGUAACAGGGUUUUUUCACCUAUUGAUGAUUUUAUCAGCGUUAUCAGUAGGCUAGAGGUGAGGAUUAUGUGAGAUUGUUGUUAGAGACAACGAGGGCGUAAGGGCUCCAGUACGUUUGGAAACGUCACUAAGUACAAAGUCCAGUAUUGUAACUAAAGAAGAAGUCACAGUGUCUCGUAAUAAUAAAAUUAUUGACGAGCGCAAUAGAGAGACACACGAGAGCAAUUAUUAUGUAUCGUCG